AGUGAACGCUGGCGGUAGGCCUAACACAUGCAAGUCGAACGGCAGCACAGUAAGAGCUUGCUCUUACGGGUGGCGAGUGGCGGACGGGUGAGGAAUACAUCGGAAUCUACUUUUUCGUGGGGGAUAACGUAGGGAAACUUACGCUAAUACCGCAUACGACCUACGGGUCAAAGCAGGGGAUCUUCGGACCUUGCGCGAUUGAAUGAGCCGAUGUCGGAUUAGCUAGUUGGCGGGGUAAAGGCCCACCAAGGCGACGAUCCGUAGCUGGUCUGAGAGGAUGAUCAGCCACACUGGAACUGAGACACGGUCCAGACUCCUACGGGAGGCAGCAGUGGGGAAUAUUGGACAAUGGGCGCAAGCCUGAUCCAGCCACACCGCGUGGGUGAAGAAGGCCUUCGGGUUGUAAAGCCCUUUUGUUGGGAAAGAAAAGCAGCAGGUUAAUACCCCGCUGUUCUGACGGUACCCAAAGAAUAAGCACCGGCUAACUUCGUG
rnacentral:rRNA from 1 species